GAUGAACGCUGGCGGCGUGCCUAAUACAUGCAAGUCGAGCGAACAGACGAGGAGCUUGCUCCUCUGACGUUAGCGGCGGACGGGUGAGUAACAUGUGGAUAACCUACCUAUAAGACUGGGAUAACUUCGGGAAACCGGAGCUAAUACCGGAUAAUAUAUUGAACCGCAUGGUUCAAUAGUGAAAGACGGUUUUGCUGUCACUUAUAGAUGGAUCCGCGCCGCAUUAGCUAGUUGGUAAGGUAACGGCUUACCAAGGCAACGAUGCGUAGCCGACCUGAGAGGGUGAUCGGCCACACUGGAACUGAGACACGGUCCAGACUCCUACGGGAGGCAGCAGUAGGGAAUCUUCCGCAAUGGGCGAAAGCCUGACGGAGCAACGCCGCGUGAGUGAUGAAGGUCUUCGGAUCGUAAAGCUCUGUUAUUAGGGAAGAACAAAUGUGUAAGUAACUAUGCACGUCUUGACGGUACCUAAUCAGAAAGCCACGGCUAACUACGUG
rnacentral:rRNA from 1 species